rnacentral:rRNA from 1 species
UUGGAGGGCAAGUAAUGGUGCCAGCAGCCGCGGUAAUUCCAGCUCCAAUAGCGUAUAUUAAAGUUGUUGCAGUUAAAAAGCUCGUAGUUGAAUUUCGGGGUUAGUAGGUUGGUCAUGCCUCUGGUAUGUACUGGUCUCACUGAUUCCUCCUUCCUGAUGAACCGUAAUGCCAUUAAUUUGGUGUUGCGGGGAAUUUGGACUGUUACUUUGAAAAAAUUAGAGUGUUUAAAGCAAGCUAACGCUUGAAUACAUUAGCAUGGAAUAAUGAAAUAGGACGUUCGAUCCUAUUUUGUUGGUUUCUAGGAUUGACGUAAUGAUUAAUAGGGAUAGUUGGGGGCAUCUUUAUUCAAUUGUCAGAGGUGAAAUUCUUGGAUUUAUUGAAGACUAACUACUGCGAAAGCAUUUGCCAAGGAUGUUUUCAUUAAUCAAGAACGAAAGUUAGCCGAUCGAAGACGAUCAGAUACCGUCGUAGUCUUAACCAUAAACUAUGCCGACUAGGGAUCGGAUGAUGUUAAUUUUUUAAUGACGGCAACAUUCGGCGCCUUACGGGAAACCAAAGUG